CAAAACAAGAUUGAAACGACAAUCAAAUGAAGAGGAUAUGGACGUUAUGCCCAAGCUGUUACAGAUGAAUGUGCUCGUUUGCUUGUUUUUUGUCUAUUAAUCGUACAUUUUUUUUCUUUUAUUCACCUCCUCGCUCCC
rnacentral:ribozyme from 12 species